AGAACGAACGCUGGCGGCAUGCCUAAUACAUGCAAGUCGAACGAACUCUUCGGAGUUAGUGGCGCACGGGUGCGUAACGCGUGGGAAUCUGCCCCUUGGUUCGGAAUAACAGUUGGAAACGACUGCUAAUACCGGAUGAUGACGAAAGUCCAAAGAUUUAUCGCCAAGGGAUGAGCCCGCGUAGGAUUAGCUAGUUGGUGAGGUAAAGGCUCACCAAGGCAACGAUCCUUAGCUGGCCUGAGAGGAUGAUCAGCCACACUGGGACUGAGACACGGCCCAGACUCCUACGGGAGGCAGCAGUAGGGAAUAUUGGACAAUGGGCGAAAGCCUGAUCCAGCAAUGCCGCGUGAGUGAUGAAGGCCUUAGGUUGUAAAGCUCUUUUACCCGAGAUGAUAAUGACAGUAUCGGAGAAUAAGCCCCGGAUAACUCCGUGCCAGCAGCCGAC
rnacentral:rRNA from 1 species